rnacentral:lncRNA from 1 species
CACAGGAAGUAUGGCUCUGUAACCUAUCUCCUUUUUGUUUGUUUUUUGAGACAAGGUCUCACCUCAGGCUGGCCUCAAACUCUUGGCAAUCUGCUUGCCUGCUUCGGCAGCACAUAUACUAAAACUCUUGGACUCUUCCUGUCUCAGCCUCCACAGUGCUGGGAUUAUAGGCCUGCAGCACUACACCCAGCCCUAUCUCCCCCUUUUAAAAAAACUAACUGUAAAACAUGUACUAGUCAUAAAGUUAAAAAAAAAACACGAAGAGGUACUUGUUUUUGCCCUCUCUCUCUCCCAAUACUCUUCUAUUCCCAAAACUACAUUAAAAGGUUUCUUAAGUGGGAUGAAUCUAUAAUUCCAGCUCUCAGGAGGCUGGGGCAAGAAGAUUGUGGGUUCAAGGCCAAUCUGGACUACAUAUUGAGACCUUGUCAAAAAAAGAGAUUAUGUAUUUCCUGAGUUAAUGAAAACAAAGAUACUAUAACCCCUCUUCUUUUCCCUUUUUUUUUCUUUUUUCUCUUUUGGUACCAGGAAUCAAACUCAGGAUCUUGUGCUUGUCAAGCAGGCAAGGUGCCACUGAGCUAUAUCCCCAGACCCCUUCUUUUUUCUUUGAUGGUACUCAAGAUUGAACUCAGAGCCUUCUUAUUGAGGUACAUCCCCAUCCUCUUAUUUUUUUAUAGGGUCUUGCUAAAUAUCCAAGCUGGACUCAAAUCCUCCUGCCUCAGUCUCCCAGACAGGUGCAUGCUACUACACCCAGCUAUAAUCCAUUUUCUUACUUUAAAUAUGUAUACUUUACAUUUUGUACUUUUUUACACUUAAUAAAUUUUUGUAGUUAUUUCAUUAUUGGUAUAUAGAAAGCUUCUUCCUCGUUCUUUUUAACAGCUGCAUAUUACUAUACUACCUAGCUAUACCCACAGAUAUUGACCCAAUCUAUUACUGAUGGGCAUGAAUUGUUUCUUUUUCCUGUUUGGUGCUGCGAUUGAACCCAGGGCCCUAGGUUUGCUCUGUCAUUGAGAUAUACAAUCUCUCUUGUUGUUUUUAAUUUUAUUUUUAGACAGAUUCUCACUAAAUUGCCAAACUAGCCUCAAAGUUACCAUAUUCCUGCCUCUGCCUCCCAAGUGGCUGGGAUUACAAGCCUGCACCACAACCCCAAGCUUCCAGUAUUUUUCUAUGCCAAAUAUUGCUACCAUAAGCAAUCUUGUAUCUAUAUUAUUUCAUGUCAAUGUAGAUACAUUUGUAGCAUUAAGUGUUGAGUUAAAGCAGCUGUAAUUAUCACUAAUACUGUCUUAUCAAGUUUCCCUUCAUAGGCUUUGCUUAUGCCAAUACCAAUACUAUUUUUAUUUCUGAGGUUUUGUAUUUAUUUAUUUUGCUAUUUUGAGACAAGGUCUCUGUAUAGCUCAGGCAGCCCUAGAACUGUGAUGACCCCUCUUGCCACAGUCUCCCCAGUAUAGUGAUUACAGAUACACAUCAUCACAAAGUAACAGUUGGAAGAGUAAUUGCUUUCUUUUUCAUAUGCUUACUGGCUACUGCUACUAGUUUAUUUUUCCAUGUUAAUAAAAUCACCUUAUCUAGUUCCAAAAAAAAAAAAAA